GAUGAAGAACGUAGCGAAAUGCGAUAAGUAAUGCGAAUUGCAGAAUUCCGUGAGUCAUCGAAUCUUUGAACGCACAUUGCGCCCUCUGGUAUUCCGGAGGGCAUGCCUGUCUGAGCGUCAUUGUCAACCCUCAAGCUCAGCUUGCUGUUAGGUCCCCGUCGUUGCUUUAACGGCGGACCCGAAAGGUAAUGGCAGAGUCCGUGAGACCCUAGACGCAGCGAGCUUCUAGCACGCGUCUGGACGUUUUUCGGGCUCGGUCUUAACUAGAUGAUAACUUCCGAUUGACCUCAGAUCAGGUAGGGAUACCCGCUGAACUUAAGCAUAUCAUAGCGGAGA
rnacentral:misc_RNA from 1 species